GUGAGAAAAAAAAGUUCUAAUAGUGGAAAAGGGUAGAAAAUGAACAUUUUCAUCUCUCUUUUCUCCCCUCAGCCCUCUGUAAUCACUCCCCUGAGGUACGUCCUGUUAACAGAGUUUGUAUUAAAUCAUCGCGCGCGAGCAUCGGGGUUUAUUUAUUCACUAUCCAGUGAACACUGACUCCCACCCGCGUGCCAGGCAUUGUGCGGGUCGCGCACAAAGAUACGGCGCUAUUUCCACCCUUAGGGCCGGCAUGCGGUGGAGCCCGCUUCUGCCUGGGGUCAGGCCGCCGGGAGGAAGAGGAGGCAGCGCUGGAGCCAGAUUGCAGCGAACACAGUUGUCACCUGGAGAAGCCCAGGCCCGGGAGCAUCCCGCGGAGCCCAUGGGACACAGAGGAGGAACCAGGAGAGUCGGGGCAGGCGUCGCGGAGGAGGUGAGGUCUCGAAGAAGAGGCACUGGCCAGAGGAGGGUACGGAAGGACAUUACAGGAAAAGGAAGCACACUGCAGGGCCCAGGUGUCACCAGGGAUAGAGAUGAGAGUCACCUGCACCUGGGAACGUCGUGUUCUCCUGCCAUGGUACCUUGUGACGGACACAGCUCCACCUGUGCAGCUGGACAGCCAGAAAUGCACAACCCCAAUCUCACUGUGAGGAAGCAGAAGACGAACACAAAAUGAGGACUGUUCUGUUUCUAAAAAGAAGGACGCACAUGUGGGGGGUGGGCUCUAUUUUUCAGAUAUGUCAAUGUUAUAAAAGACAAUGAAAGGCUGUGGAAAUGUUUUGGACGAAAGGAGACUAAAAGAGCAUGACAACUAAAUGCAAUUCCCGACCCUAGAAUCCUGUCCUGGAGAAGAAUGAAGUGCUAAAAAGAACAUUAUUAAAUCAACUGACAAAACCAGAAUAUGGCUGCCAGAUUAGAUAAAAGC
rnacentral:lncRNA from 1 species